AAUAAAGAACGUGAAGACAAACUUGUUACUUAAAUACAUAGUUCCGGCUUGCAAGUGUCAAGUUGGCCAAUUAUUUGUAGCAUACUUCCUUACAUCUCAGUCUGUGUAACAUUACUUUACAUUUACCAGAUCCCAACUAAAUCCCAUGAUGCCGGUACUAGAAGCAGCGACAUGCCAGGAUUGUGUGCAAAAUGCUGGAGGUUUUUGGUCGAUACGGACGGAUGGUUCAUCGAAUUGUUUCUCCGCGUUCGAUCCACCUGCCGAAUUUUUUCGAAUAAUAAUUUCGACAUUGGUUGGCUGCUCGUCCCUCGUGAUGACGCCAACAAGCCCACCGCCGUUGGAAUGUGACGACGGAUUUUUCACUGGAAUGAUUUGCGGAAAAACCCUGCCCAUCAUUCGCUACCCAUCAUUCCCUACCCGGUGCAUAUCCCUACCCUCAUGAUUCCCUCUCCAUCAUUCCCUACCCGAGACAAUUCCCUCCCCAUCAUUCCCUCUCCACCAUUCCCUACCCAGUCAAUGCCGAAAUGCCGGCAACAAUAAUAUCUAACGACAUCUCUCUGUGGAAUUGUUUCCAUUCUGUGCUGGAAGAUCUCCCGAAAACCAACAACGCCUGUGAGGGAUUCCACAACGGAUUUGCGUCUGUUCUUGGGGCUCAUCAUCCCACAAUCUACAAAUUAAUAGACAGUUUGAAAGAUGAGCAAGUUCUGACUGAAUUGGCCAUGAGCCAAUUGGCCAUGGAGCCAAACAUUUCAGUUUUGCAAAAAUGCCAAACUUGGCCAGAAUUUAGAAAACAUUUUAGAAACCUAUUUCAUAAAUAAUCAUUUUCGAUAUCUUCACCCCCAACACCGAUAUUCGAGGUCAAAGUGUAAUGUAUGCACUUAUGGCCUAUGCCAAAUAAUGUUCCAAAUGGUUAAGUACAAUUUUACAAAGUUCAGUUUUACAAGUUCAUUUUUAAAGGUUAUCUUCUAAAAAGGAAGAUUAUGGGUUUCCUGUUGCGCUUCCUGUAUUUCGCUUACUACGAGACAAACAUAUUGUUUCCUCGAUGAAGAAUAUGAACAAAUCUAAAUGAUAAUUUCCCGUCAGUAAUAAAGAGCUUGAGCCAACUUUGUAACUUACAUAGUUCAAACUUCCAAGUUGACCACUGGGUUAUUUUAAUAAAAGCAAAGUCUUGAAAUUGUUUUUUUUGCUUGUAGCAUACACAGCUCUCGAAAGAUCCAUGUAUCUUUAUAACUUUACCAUGUUUGUAUGUAUGGGUUUAGACUUCAAAUAAAUUUCAUGGUGAUUAAAUAUUUACAUCUGUAGAUAAAUAUUUUUGACAAGCUACUUAUUUAUAACUUGCUAUCCAUCCAGUUUCGUAAAUAGAAUUCGUUCUUAAAACACAAAUAGCAUCACCCCAUUAUCAAGAUUGGUACUCUUUGUGUCUUUGCAGAUGUUAGUAUUAGAAGCCGCGAGCUGUAUUGAUUGUGUGGAGCCUAUUGGAGGGAGUUGGGCGAUAAGGCAAGACGGUUCUGCGGCGUGUUCCUCGGCGUUCGAUCCACCCCCUGGAUUUUUUUCCGAGAAGAAUUGAGACGUUGGGGCAUGUCCCUCGUCACCACGACAACCCCACCUCCGAUGGUCUGUGAGGACGUAUUUAUCACGGUAUGUAUACACAACAUACAGGAGUUUUUAUCGAGAUGGGCACUUCGGCGGGAGGAGCGGUCUUGUUUUGGAUUUUGAAACGUUUCUAUAGCCAUGUGUCGCAUGGUGUAGGAUAAUUUCGCAGUGACCAAGGUGACUAAUUACACAAUCUAUGUAAUGAUCCGUAGCUCUUCUCAUAUAAAUAUAUAAAUGGACGAUAAUUUCGUCUGUAGACGGCUUGUGAGCUACGUUACGCGGACGCAUCAUUGACGAUUAAAUAAAUAUGAGUAUGCAAAUAAUUUUAUGUACAUAUUUAAGCAUGUUCCCAUUAACAUGUUUAUAUUUUUUUGCAGUAAACCAUAUAUAUGUAUAAAUAAAUUUAGUCAAUAAGUACCGUACUCACGACAGCUUAUUUCGCAUCGUAACUAAUUUAGCAAAUUUGCGAAACUCAAAGAAAUUGUAUCUUGAGGGGCUUCGCAAAAUAUGAGUUCGCAAAACUGUAAGGCACAGAUUUGUAAAUAUUUUUCCAUGGAUUUCUGUAAUUUUUCUCGUCUGUGACGGAGAAGAGAUGUUUGCGAAAUAAGCACAUGGUGAGAUGCUGGGUAAAUUUGCGAACUAAAAUCCCAUUAUUUUUCAUCAAAAUUUUUGCGAAAUCUCACAGAACUUCGCAAGUUAUAUUGCUAUGCUCAAUUUAAGAGAGAUGAGAGAUAUGGGAACGUUGACGUGAGUACGCUCAAUAUAUAUAUGCAUAUAUAAUCAAUUAUAUUUAGAUACGUCUUUCUAAGAUCUGGAUUAUUAUCCCUGUAAAUCUUAAUUGUCGCAAAAAUUUGACAAACAGUGCGCAGUAAAGUUUACAUGAUAUUGUAUACAACAAAUGAGCCCUACUUCUACAUAAAUUAACAUAAUGGAGGUAAAAAUGAUACAUGAAAACAAAUAAACAUAUAGAUAUUUAUUUCUCA